rnacentral:tRNA from 1 species
AGUAAAGUCAGCUAAUAAAGCUCUUGGGCCCAUACCCCAAAAAUGUUGGUAAAAACCCCUCCUUUACUA